GACGAACGCUGGCGGCGUGCCUAAUACAUGCAAGUCGAGCGAAGUUUUUCUGGUGCUUGCACUAGAAAAACUUAGCGGCGAACGGGUGAGUAACACGUAAAGAACCUGCCUCAUAGACUGGGACAACUAUUGGAAACGGUAGCUAAUACCGGAUAACAGCAUUAACUGCAUGGUUGAUGUUUAAAAGUUGGUUUUGCUAACACUAUGAGAUGGCUUUGCGGUGCAUUAGCUAGUUGGUGGGGUAAAGGCCUACCAAGGCGACGAUGCAUAGCCGACCUGAGAGGGUGAUCGGCCACACUGGGACUGAGACACGGCCCAGACUCCUACGGGAGGCAGCAGUAGGGAAUCUUCCGCAAUGGGCGAAAGCCUGACGGAGCAACGCCGCGUGAGUGAAGAAGGAUUUCGGUUCGUAAAGCUCUGUUGUUAGGGAAGAAUGAUUGUGUAGUAACUAUACACAGUAGAGACGGUACCUAACCAGAAAGCCACGGCUAACUACGUG
rnacentral:rRNA from 1 species